rfam:Ictidomys tridecemlineatus contig097315, whole genome shotgun sequence.
GAGAGCUCAUUUAUUCUCAUGGCUUUUAAAAUUACCUUUGGCUCAGUGUACAACAGCUGCAAACAUCAGCCUCCUUGGUAGUGUACACAGCCUGUGGCUUGUAUAGGCUGCCUUAAGGCACCUUGGAGAUGGCC